UCAAAGGAAUUGACGGGACCCGCACAAGCGGUGGAUGAUGUGGUUUAAUUCGAUGCAACGCGAAAACCUUACCCACCUUUGACAUGUACGGAAUCCUUUAGAGAUAGAGGAGUGCUCGAAAGAGAACCGUAACACAGGUGCUGCAUGGCUGUCGUCAGCUCGUGUCGUGAGAUGUUGGGUUAAGUCCCGCAACGAGCGCAACCCUUGUCAUUAGUUGCUACAUUUAGUUGGGCACUCUAAUGAGACUGCCGGUGACAAACCGGAGGAAGGUGGGGAUGACGUCAAGUCCUCAUGGCCCUUAUAGGUGGGGCUACACACGUCAUACAAUGGAUGGUACAAAGGGUCGCCAACCCGCGAGGGGGAGCCAAUCCCAUAAAGCCAUUCGUAGUCCGGAUCGUAGUCUGCAACUCGACUACGUGAAGUCGGAAUCGCUAGUAAUCGUGGAUCAGAAUGUCACGGUGAAUACGUUCCCGGGUCUU
rnacentral:rRNA from 1 species